GUCCCCUCCUUGGGCACGUUCCUCUAUCACCUGAAGCUGCUGAACAUUGGGAUGGAGGAUGAUCUGGAAGUGAGUGAGCCUGGAGGUGGGACCAAGGAGCAGGAUCCUGAGGGAAAUCGGGUCAACUUCCAGAAAUGGUAUGAGAAAUUAAAAGUCAUCAGGAGGAUCCAGCUGCUCCAGCAGGAUGCAAAUGCGUAUGACCUGGAGCCUGAAGAGUGAUUUGG